ensembl:lncRNA
GACACUGACGAAAGAGAAGAAGAAAUGAAUUGACACUGACUAAAGAGAAGAAGAAAUGAAUUGACACUGACUAAAGAGAAGAAGAAAUGAAUUGACACUGACUAAAGAGAAGAAGAAAUGAAUUGACACUGACGAAAGAGAAGAAGAAAUGAAUUGACACUGACGAAAGAGAAGAAGAAAUGAAUUGACACUGACGAAAGAGAAGAAGAAAUGAAUUGACACUGACUAAAGAGAAGAAGAAAUGAAUUGACACUGACUAAAGAGAAGAAGAAAUGAAUUGACACUGACUAAAGAGAAGAAGAAAUGAAUUGACACUGACUAAAGAGAAGAAGAAAUGAAUUGACAUUGACUAAAGAGAAGAAGAAAUGAAUUGACACUGACUAAAGAGAAGAAGAAAUGAAUUGACACUGACUAAAGUGAAGAAGAAAUGAAUUGACACUGACUAAAGAGAAGAAGAAAUGAAUUGACACUGACUAAAGAGAAGAAAUGAAUUGACACUGACUAAAGAGAAGAAGAAAUGAAUUGACACUGACGAAAGAGAAGAAGAAAUGAAUUGACACUGACGAAAGAGAAGAAGAAAUGAAUUGACACUGACUAAAGAGAAGAAGAAAUGAAUUGACACUGACUAAAGAGAAGAAGAAAUGAAUUGACACUGACUAAAGAGAAGAAGAAAUGAAUUGACACUGACUAAAGAGAAGAAGAAAUGAAUUGACACUGACUAAAGAGAAGAAGAAAUGAAUUGACACUGACUAAAGAGAAGAAGAAAUGAAUUGACACUGACGAAAGAGAAGAAGAAAUGAAUUGACACUGACGAAAGAGAAGAAAUGAAUUGACACUGACUAAAGAGAAGAAGAAAUGAAUUGACACUGACUAAAGAGAAGAAGAAAUGAAUUGACACUGACUAAAGAGAAGAAGAAAUGAAUUGGGACUGGAAUUUAUUGAAAUACUAAUUAAAGGUUAAACAUAUUAAAUGUUAAAGGUUGAAAACGUUGGGAGAUAUUAAAGGUGUUAAAAUAAUGCAGGUGAGGAGAGUUAUAAUGUAGUUUUCUUUAAGUUGUGAAUCAUAUAGACUGUGUUUCAUUCUGCUUAGAGGACAAGGCCUUAGGAGGUUGAUAACGAGACGUUAUAAUGGUCAAAUGUUAUAAUGUUUAAAAUAUUGAAUUAUUAAGAUAUAACUGGAGUAAUAAAUUAGGUUGUAUUAAGAUUAGAAUUGAGUAAAGAUGGUUUGAAAAAUGUAUGUUUUAAGAAGUUGAUGUUAAUGAAGUAUAUUAAAAGGUGCUAGCUUGAUCUGGAAAUCCCUUGAGGUGACCUCAUUGACAGACAUGUUCUAGAACAUUCUAGGUGGAACCCUUAAGGUUACCUCAUUGAUAGAAGUGUUCUAGAACAUUCUAGGUGGAAUCCUUAAGGUUACCUCAUUGGUAGAAGUGUUCUAGUAGCUGUUAGUUUUUUAGACACCAACUGAGGGACUGAGCAUCCCGAGGGGGGAGACAAAAAUCUGUUUAUAAUUUGUAGAAGGUAAGAACAUGUUUUUCUUGUUGUUAAAUACAGCUUCUCAUGAAAUUGUUAUAGUUUUUAGGUAAAGGGUUUAGGUAAAGGGUUUAGGUAAAGGGUUUAGGUAAAGACGCUGAAGGCAUCUCUCAAUUUAAUCCAAGGUACAUUUUUGCGUAUCAUCAAUUGGUGAUAUUGAUUGAUCCGUUUUUUAUGCCUUUUUUUCUGUCAUUUUGAAUAAACUUGCUUUAUUGUUCUGAAA